rnacentral:rRNA from 1 species
AUUGAACGCUGGCGGCAUGCCUUACACAUGCAAGUCGAACGGCAGCACGGGAGCUUGCUCCUGGUGGCGAGUGGCGAACGGGUGAGUAAUGCAUCGGAACGUGCCCUGAAGUGGGGGAUAACGUAGCGAAAGUUACGCUAAUACCGCAUAUUCUGUGAGCAGGAAAGCAGGGGAUCUUCGGACCUUGCGCUUUUGGAGCGGCCGAUGUCGGAUUAGCUAGUUGGUGGGGUAAAGGCCCCACCAAGGCGACGAUCCGUAGCGGGUCUGAGAGGGUAUGACUCCCGCCAACUACGUAGGAACUGGAG